rnacentral:rRNA from 1 species
ACUGCAGGCUGCAACUCGCCUGCACGAAGUCGGAAUUGCUAGUAAUCGUAGGUCAGCAUACUACGGUGAAUACGUUCCCGGGCCUUGUACACACCGCCCGUCAAGCCAUGGAAGCCGGGGGUGCCUGAAGUGCGCUGCCGCAAGGAGCGCCCUAGGGUAAAACCGGUGACUGGGGCUAAGUCGUAACAAGGUAUC